CCUACGGGGGGCAGCAGUGAGGAAUAUUGGUCAAUGGACGAGAGUCUGAACCAGCCAAGUAGCGUGAAGGAUGACUGCCCUAUGGGUUGUAAACUUCUUUUAUAUGGGAAUAAAACGUUCCACGUGUGGGAUUUUGUAUGUACCAUAUGAAUAAGGAUCGGCUAACUCCGUGCCAGCAGCCGCGGUAAUACGGAGGAGCCGAGCGUUAUCCGGAUUUAUUGGGUUUAAAGGGAGCGUAGGUGGAUUGUUAAGUCAGUUGUGAAAGUUUGCGGCUCAACCGUAAAAUUGCAGUUGAAACUGGCAGUCUGGAGUACAGUAGAGGUGGGCGGAAUUCGUGGUGUAGCGGUGAAAUGCUUAGAUAUCACGAAGAACUCCGAUUGCGAAGGCAGCUCACUGGACUGCAACUGACACUGAGGCUCGAAAGUGUGGGUAUCAAACAGGAUUAGAUACCCGAGUAGUC
rnacentral:rRNA from 1 species